ensembl:lncRNA
GGAAAGCAUGGUGGAGCUGGGAAAUUUCAAGAAGACAUUUAUACUCUAUGGAGAUUGCUGUCAUCCCAAGUGAUAUUUCCAUGAAGAGAGAAAUGUAGCUUAUUUUUAUAUGUAUCUUUGUUCUUUGAACCCAAAAUGCCAGAAUAAAUCAGCCAAGUGAGAAGGUUCCACUCUGAGAAGCAUUCUGUACAUAGUUCAGUGGUGUUCACAUGACAUAGGGCACCUAAUCAUUUAGAGCUGCCCUCAAAACCUGAAGCCCAUUGUUCCAGAUAUCCUUACUAGGGGUUCAUUUUUAUUCUUUCAGGUGUGAAUUUGAUUUCUGGAGACAGCCUACAUCCCAGUUAGAGCCCGGCAUGAAGAAUACUAAAAGCAAUAAUGCAGGACAAUAUUGGCCAACAGAAGAACAAUAAUUACAAUCAAAAGUUUGCUGAAGACUUUCUAUAUGCCAGGUCUCAAAGGAGAAGUGGCUUCCGAGACCACCAGGAAGAGAGAGCCUUACCUCUGCUGUUCAUACACACAUGGGAAGUUGAAAAUGGAGAAAUCUUCAGAUCAGAAAUCUUUCCUCAUCUCCAACUUGAGAUGAACCUANUUACCUUUCAGGUCUCAAAGGAGAAGUGGCUUCCGAGACCACCAGGAAGAGAGAACCUUACCUCUGCUGUUCAUACACACAUGGGAAGUUGGAAAUGGAGAAAAUAUCUGUUUUCUGAACAUAGAAAUCUUCAGAAAUCUUUCCUCAUCUCCAACUUGAGAUGAACCUAUUCCCAGUAGGAAGGCACAAGUUGGAAGAGAAGCAGGGAAAUAGAACCAUUGAGAGCACCUCAUGUAGCCUCUUUUGGCCACUGCUUCCUUUGGGAGAACGCGUUGGGGGGGUGAGGGAAGCACUGGCUCAGCCACCAUGUGUUGAGGUGUAAGGUGAGUAAGCCAUGCCUGGCCUCCAAGGAAAAUCUGCAUCCAUCAAGUGGCCUUUCCCUUUGGGAGUCACAAAAAUGAACUUCAAAAUAGCCGCUAUAAUCAAGCUUCAUGGGUGGAGUAGUCCCCAGCCAAGUCCAGGAAGUUCCCUAUCCAAAGCUAUUCAUUAGGCUGGGGCUGUGCAAAUAAUUAGUCUCCUACUUGCUCCAUAAGCCUGCUAGGCCAAGAGCCCAGGUGAUGAGUCCAGGUGGGACCAUUAGGCCACGCUUGGGCAGGCGGCUCAGACAUUACCAUGGCAACAGGAGGUUUUAUUUAUUUUACUAAAAAGAACAAAACAACAGACGGCUGUCCUUUAGACAAUAGGAUCUUGUCAUCUGAGGCCUCCAUGCCCAGGUGACAUGUUCGGCCCCCAGUUCUUUCCUGGGCCUCCCCACGCACGUUCUGGAGGAGGUGAGCCCAGCAGGCUGCUCAGGCCAGGCGGUCUGAUGCUGACAAUGUGUCACUGCAAAGCCGCCCUUGCAGAUGUUUCCUGGGCUGAGCCUGAGCAAGGCUGAGAGCAGAGAUUUUGGCAGCAGGAGGCAACAGGAGGCGGCCCUGAACUCUGAGUUGUGAUGGCCCUCCUGAAAAAUGUGGGCCAGGUGCAGGGGAGAUAAAAAUGCCCCGAAGUACAAGAUCCUGAAAAGUUGUUGUUGUUUUAAUUAACAAAAGGGCUUAGAACUGGGAAGGAAGUACCACCUUUAUGGCCAAGGAUGAGUGGUACCAUUUGGAUGAUUAGCUCUGAGAAGAUCUUGAGGAAAAUAAAACAUACUAUGUCCUCUCCUCUUGUCCUCCA